rnacentral:rRNA from 1 species
CCCUUAGAUGUUCUGGGCCGCACGCGCGCUACACUGAUGAAUUCAACGAGCUCCUAACCUAGGCCGAAGGGUCCGGGUAAUCUUUGAAAUUUCAUCGUGAUGGGGAUAGAUUAUUGCAAUUAUUAAUCUUCAACGAGGAAUUCCUAGUAAGCGCGAGUCAUCAGCUCGCGUUGAUUACGUUCCUGCCCUUUGUACACACCGCCCGUCGCUCCUACCGAUUGAAUGGUCCGGUGAAAUGUUCGGACCGCGACAAGGCGGACGGUUCGCUGUCAGCUUUGCUGCGGGAAGUUCAUUAAACCUUAUCAUUUAGAGGAAGGAGAAGUCGUANCA